rnacentral:rRNA from 1 species
AGGUAGCGAAAUUCCUUGUCGGGUAAGUUCCGACCUGCACGAAUGGCGUAACGAUGGCCACACUGUCUCAACCCGAGACUCAGUGAAAUUGAACUUGCUGUGAAGAUGCAGUAUACCCGCGGCUAGACGGAAAGACCCCGUGCACCUUUACUACAGCUUUGCACUGAACUUUGAACCUACUUGUGUAGGAUAGCUGGGAGGCAAUGAAACCGUGACGCUAGUUGCGGUGGAGCCACACUUGAAAUACCAGCCUGGUAUGUUUGAGGUUCUAACCUAGACCCCUAAUCGGGGUUGGGGACAGUGUAUGGUGGGUAGUUUGACUGGGGCGGUCUCCUCCCAAAGAGUAACGGAGGAGCGCGAAGGUACCCUAAUCCUGGUCGGAAAUCAGGAGAUUAGUGCAAAAGCAUAAGGGUGCUUGACUGCGAGACUGACAAGUCGAGCAGGUACGAAAGUAGGCUUUAGUGAUCCGGUGGUUCUGAAUGGAAGGGCCAUCGCUCAACGGAUAAAAGGUACGCCGGGGAUAACAGGCUGAUACCGCCCAAGAGUUCAUAUCGACGGCGGUGUUUGGCACCUCGAUGUCGGCUCAUCACAUCCUGGGGCUGAAGCAGGUCCCAAGGGUAUGGCUGUUCGCCAUUUAAAGUGGUACGCGAGCUGGGUUUAGAACGUCGUGAGACAGUUCGGUCCCUAUCUGCCGUGGGCGUUGGAGAAUUGAGAGGAGCUGCUCCUAGUACGAGAGGACCGGAGUGGACGAAUCCCUGGUGUUCGGGUUGUCAUGCCAAUGGCAUUGCCCGGUAGCUACAUUCGGAACUGAUAAACGCUGAAAGCAUCUAAGCGUGAAGCAGGCCUCAAGAUGAAUUCUCCCUGAGACUUUAAGUCUCCUAAAGGGUCGUUGUAGACUACAACGUUGAUAGGUUGGGUGUGGAAGUGCAGUAAUGCAUGAAGCUAACCAAUACUAAUUGCCCGUGAGUCUUGACUAU